AUUGAACGCUGGCGGCAGGCCUAACACAUGCAAGUCGAGCGGAUGAAGGGAGCUUGCUCCUGGAUUCAGCGGCGGACGGGUGAGUAAUGCCUAGGAAUCUGCCUGGUAGUGGGGGAUAACGUCCGGAAACGGGCGCUAAUACCGCAUACGUCCUGAGGGAGAAAGUGGGGGAUCUUCGGACCUCACGCUAUCAGAUGAGCCUAGGUCGGAUUAGCUAGUUGGUGGGGUAAAGGCCUACCGAGGCGACGAUCCGUAACUGGUCUGAGAGGAUGAUCAGUCACACUGGAACUGAGACACGGUCCAGACUCCUACGGGAGGCAGCAGUGGGGAAUAUUGGACAAUGGGCGAAGGCCUGAUCCAGCCAUGCCGCGUGUGUGAAGAAGGUCUUCGGAUUGUAAAGCACUUUAAGUUGGGAGGAAGGGCAGUAAGUUAAUACCUUGCUGUUUUGACGUUACCAACAGAAUAAGCACCGGCUAACUUCGUG
rnacentral:rRNA from 1 species